CAGAACGAGUACCCUGCGAUGCCAUUGAUUUGGCCAUCAUGUCAGCAAGCACAUUUCCCUGGAUUCCUCCAUGGCCACGAACCCAGCUAAUAACUACAUGUCUGUGCGCUUUCUUGCAGAUCUGUUGACCUGCAGUCCAGUGGAUUCUGCAACCCCUCUGCUGCCUGAUGUCAAGUCACCCCUACCGGAACCAUCCGGUUAUGCCAAUACUCCUCCAGGCCGGUGCAGUCUGGUCUACCGGAAACUCUGCACCGCUUUUCGGAAUGCUGAUGGACCUGCUGGCCUCCUUGGACUAUGCUCUCUUAAGACGUCCUGGUUCCUUUUCCCCCUUUUUCCUCCUACUCAAUAAAAAAUUGGACGCAACGAGACCUCACCAGUCCCACGCCGAUGCAGACAAGUCCUCCGCCGUCCUAUCCCCUCCUGGUAUCAAACAGCUGUUCCUCAAGACGGCACUGCACCGAAGUUUUGUCUGUCUCCAACUUAAAAUAAAAGG